UACGGGUAUCCACACAAGACUCUUGUCUGAUAAAAAAUCUUUUGAUCUCAUCGAAGUACUAACUCUCUUGGAGAGAUCACAUCUCGAUGGUUGAAAAUUUUUUUCUCUCAAGAUACUCUUAGAGAAGAAGUUGGAGGAUGAUGAUAUCUAUGCUAGAGAUCAUGAGAAGAAUCUUUUCUUCUCUUUUCUUCCUAUAACCCAUACACCAAGUCUCUAUACUAAAGAUGUAAAAAUUUUAUCCAACUUAUGGAAAAGG
rnacentral:lncRNA from 1 species